AUUGAACGCUGGCGACAGGCCUAACACAUGCAAGUCGAACGAGUGGCGGACGGGUGAGUAAUGUCUGGGAAACUGCCUGAUGGAGGGGGAUAACUACUGGAAACGGUAGCUAAUACCGCAUACCAUCGGAUUUGCACAGGUGGGAUUAGCUAGUAGGUGGGGUAAAGGCUCACCUAGGCGACGAUCCAUAGCUGACCUGAGAGGGUGACCAGCCACACUGGAACUGAGACACGGUCCAGACUCCUACGGGAGGCAGCAGUAGGGAAUAUUGCGCAAUGGGCGCAAGCCUGACGCAGCCACGCCGCGUGUAUGAAGAAGGCCUUCGGGUUGUAAAGUACUUUCAGCGGGGAGGCGUUACCCACACAGGAAGCCCCGGCUAACUCCGUGCCAGCAGCCGCGGUAAUAC
rnacentral:rRNA from 1 species